GCAAGUCGAACGGCAGCAUAGAGAGCUUGCUCUCUGAUGGCGAGUGGCGAACGGGUGAGUAACGCGUAGGAAUAUACCUUUUAGUUGGGGACAACUCGAGGAAACUCGAGCUAAUACCGAAUGUGGUCUACGGACUAAAGCGGGGGAUCUUCGGACCUCGCGCUAGGAGAUUAGCCUGCGUCCGAUUAGCUUGUUGGUGGGGUAAAGGCCUACCAAGGCGACGAUCGGUAGCUGGUCUGAGAGGAUGAUC
rnacentral:rRNA from 1 species